rnacentral:rRNA from 1 species
CCUACGGGAGGCUGCAGUGGGGAAUAUUGGACAAUGGGGGCAACCCUGAUCCAGCCAUGCCGCGUGUGUGAAGAAGGCCCUCGGGUUGUAAAGCACUUUCAGUGAGGAAGAACGCCUGGUGGUUAAUACCCAUCAGGAAAGACAUCACUCACAGAAGAAGCACCGGCUAAACUCCGUGCCAGCAGCCGCGGUAAUACGGAGGGUGCGAGCGUUAAUCGGAAUUACUGGGCGUAAAGCGCGCGUAGGUGGCUUGAUAAGCCGGUUGUGAAAGCCCCGGGCUCAACCUGGGAACGGCAUCCGGAACUGUCAAGCUAGAGUGCAGGAGAGGAAGGUAGAAUUCCCGGUGUAGCGGUGAAAUGCGUAGAGAUCGGGAGGAAUACCAGUGGCGAAGGCGGCCUUCUGGACUGACACUGACACUGAGGUGCGAAAGCGUGGGUAGCAAACAGGAUUAGAUACCCUUGUAGUC